rnacentral:rRNA from 1 species
GUGAGUAACGCGUAUGCAACCUACCUAUCAGAGGGGAAUAACCCGGCGAAAGUCGGACUAAUACCGCAUAAAACAGGGGUUCCACAUGGAAAUAUUUGUUAAAGAAUUAUCGCUGAUAGAUGGGCAUGCGUUCCAUUAGAUAGUUGGUGAGGUAACGGCUCACCAAGUCCACGAUGGAUAGGGGUUCUGAGAGGAAGGUCCCCCACACUGGUACUGAGACACGGACCAG